rnacentral:lncRNA from 1 species
AUCCUGGGCUCUAUGAAGCCAAUCUAGCUUUGAACGUGCUUUUAUUGAUCUUUCAGGUAAAUCUACUGUGAAAGUUAUGAGCCAAGCCCAGCUCACUGACUUCAAACAGAAUUGGAGGUACCUGUAGAGAGUUACCCUGGCAGACAAGCUUUCGCUAAAGCCAGCAGAGCAGAGCUGCUGCAUGGGAACCUGGAGCAUUCAGAUAAAUCAUACGGAAGCGGCCAAUCUACUUGUUACAAGCUUUCUUCAAAAAUUAGUUCUUGAAAAAUUCUCCCCGAACAACCUCCAAUCUCUUUGGAUGUCCUCCCCUCACAAAGAAAUAUGAGAAACCACACCUCUGGGAACUUAAAUUAUCUCAGGAGCUAGAGGACUAGUGGUGGU